GGCGAUGCCUCUUGCGAGCGCGCGUCCGCCUCCCAGCCGCGCACACCGCGCGGCGGCGAGGGCGCCC
rnacentral:rRNA from 1 species